CUGUCGGUCCGGUGGCUAUUGGGGGGAUGAACAGCUUUUUUGAUCAUAAAAAAAAGCUGAACUGUCCUUAAAAGACGCAGUCGGUCGUCAUGUUUUUGUGUCGAUGGAAAGGAUGUGACAGUUUGUUCGUCUAUGUGUGUGAGCCGGAGGGGACGGCAAUAACGGUCGCGUGUGUUUUAACUUCGCGAAAGUGUCCGCGCGACAGCAAUCCACCGUGAAAACGAGAACUAUCUUCCCCGCGGUAACUAAAGGAGCACGAAUGAUCAGGAUGAAGCGAAGACGCGGAUGAAAAGCACAAAUAUAAUUGGUGCUUGAAAAGGGAAUAAUUUCUCUCAGACCAGAGAUGGAAUGUCCGUCCACCUUUUAAUCGGGCGUCGGGAAGCCUCCAAGGAACUUCGGAUGACACAGAGAGCGAGAUUUGCGAGUGGCAGGAUGUGCAGAGGCUGACCUCAGAUUUCACCUCUGUAAUUGAGGACUCCUGUGGACACGUGCCUGUGGGGGCCCAGGAGAGACCACCACUGCUGUGAGCUCACUGCUACCUCUGCGCCUGCCGAAAAAAGGUGUCUGAUCUUCUGUUUCCUAUGGGUCCAAAGAAAAAAGUUUGGUUGAUCUGAUCUUAUCAUACGUAACAGGUCAAUUUUCCAGUCAUUUUAUUUGGCGUCUUAAGAAUUUUCAACUUAAGUUAAUGUUGUACUAAAUGCUGGGAUGUCCAUUCAUACACUGUAAAAUCGAAUUAGUUGACCUUAGAUUUUUCAAGGCAAUCGGUUUGCAUGCUUUUUCUAAGUAAGCAUACUUAUUUGGCUCAAGUAAACUGAACCAAAAUUUUUAAGUAACAUUAACUAGUUAAUGUUUAUGAUUUAUGCUUAACUCAUCUAUGACUGAAGUAUCGUUGUUUUGAUUUAAUUAUUUAAAUUGGGUUAUAACAUGUCUUAUAUAGUAUAAGGGAAAUUAUGACUAGACUCUAGAUUAGCCAUAUGGCACACUGGACUCUACUCAGAACUUCUUAGUGCACAUAAAUCUGCACUUUUGUAUAGUACAGUUGAGUAAAGAAGAAUGGCUUAAACUUAACAGGCUCCAAGUUCACCAGAGUUAACACUAAUCACCCUCAUGGUGACUUCACAAAAAUCUUAAUUAUCAACCAGCUACAAAAAAAACAAAACAACAAUAGUCAUAAGAAUUCAAAUGAAAUACAUUUUUAAAUAAAAUAAGUUACCUUGUUUUAACCAAACAAACAUCAUUUAUUCAAACACAAGUGUUUAUGGUAUUGCAGACAGCAAUUUUGUACUUGAUAAUUUUGAGUUAGUAGUACUCAAAGCCAAAGUUUAAAGUACUAAUGCAUAAGAACUUAUGUAUUUGAGUUCUGAUUCCAAAAUGUGAGAUUUCACGUAUUGUUUAAUUAGGACCACUUGAUUGUUUUUAUUAAUGACAACUUUAGGAUUCAGAGAGUAAUGGUAACUUAAUUAAAACUAGUAAGAAUAGUAAAAAUUUAAGAUUAAGUUGAGUAAACUUUUUUUUUAUCAUUUGAGAAUACUAUUAGUAUUUACAGUGUAAAUCUGUAGGGUCAAAUCCCAGGAUUCACAUUUUUAUGAAUAACCGGAAAUAUCAGGAUAUUUGAAAAUUAAUUAAAUCUUUAAAAGUCAUGGAAAGCACAUGAAAUAUUAACUAUUGUGAGUAUGCACUUUUCUAGUAAUGUUCAGCUCUAAAAUAUUUUAUUGACUAGAUAUUGUUCAUUGUGAGUACAAUCUCACAAAAAAUUGUAUUCAUUAAAAUCUAGAAAUUGUAUUCAUUAAUCUCCUCAUGGAAACCUCAGGGGAGUUCAUUGUAAUUCCUGUAAUUCUUUUGCAUAUGUGUAUUUGGGGGCACUUUUAUUUCUUCAAUAUUACUUUUUAUAAAUAGGUUAUAUAUAAACUAGACUGUUUAACACAUCUCUGUUUAAGGAUUUCUAUGGCUUCAUAAUGAUGGACAUUUCAGCUCUUAAGAUCCUAAACUCUGAAAAGUGGAAGUGUGCAUGAAGAUUGCAAAAAUUACAUUGUUAACAAUGCACAUACACCGAUAAGCCACAACAUUAAAACCACCUGCCUAAGAUUGUGAAGAAGUGUGCUGUGUUCUCACUGCUUUAUCUCUGCCAGUCUUGUCUUAUUGUGUCAUAACUUUUGUGUUUCAUGGGAGAGUUGACGUUGAUGUUGUUUUUAUUUUCUGCUGCUCUCUGAUAACACUGAUGCAAAUUUGUAGGUUAAAGAGCUCAUGUUAUUAGUUUUUACUCAUUCCCCGCUCCACCAAAACAUAAUUGUGGGUGAAAAAUUGCGGCUUAGCGAUGUGCAUGUGCAGCACAUGGCAGGGUUUGGCAGCAAAUUCCUUCUGAUGCUUUUUUAAGUUGUUCUGGUUGACUUUGCUUGAGACCCUGGUGUUCAUUCAUUUAGAAAUGAAUUCAUACUUGAAAGUUCCUACAAACUGUUAUUAAAGAUAUAUGAUUUCACCUAUGCAAAGCAGUCCUCUCAACUGAUGAAUUGGCAAAUAGCUUUACAUUUUCAGCCCCUCAAAAUGUGCAAUAUUUGAUUACAGUAGUAAUAAUUUUUGUAGUUAAAUAUAUUACAAGAAUUUGAAAUACACACCUCAGGUCUGGAAGGGGUAACGUGCAUUAUAUGUGUAUUAAUUUAUUUUAUACUGUUUCCACAAUGAUUUAGAGAUAAGUACCGGCAGGAGAAUUUAUGAAGAAAUGAAUUCCGUUGUGCCAAACAUUUUGUUCUGAGUGCUGCGGUUUUGAUAUUUGUUAGAUGAAUUUAAUGCUCCAAAAAGUUUUUGUUAAGUAUCUAGAAACUAUGGUGGGUGUGCAGUGUUAACAACAUAAAUUUGGAUUUCGAGAAGUAUAUUAAGAUAUUUGUUCAAUUACUAUAAAGCUCCACAUUUUUUGUAUUUUUUAUUUUUUUUGCUGAAUAUUUAUACAUUUAUGUGGUAGAUGUGCAAUGCUAAUAACAACAUAAUUUGGGAAGAUAUAAUAGUAUUUGUUGGAUUAAAAUGAAUGGUCUUCAGGUUUUUGUUGAAUAGAUACACCGAUCAGCCACAACAUUAAAACCACCUGCCUACUAUUGUGUAGGUCCCCCUCGUGCCGCCAAAACAUCGCCAACCCACAUCUCAGAAUAGCAUUCUGAGAUUAUAUUCUUCACACCACAAUUGUA